AUGUACUACGCGGUAGUAGCACUGGUGAUCCUACUGGGAGGAGGAUCGCUCGCGAAUGCGGCCAACCAGAAGGAGGUGCUGAGGGCCUUCCUCAAAUCGAGGGCCCAGACGAGCGCGAACGGGCCCGCGGAGCCGGACGCGUGGGCCGACCCGAUCAGCAGCUUCCGCCACCUGCCCACCAAGUGCGAGACCCCGCCGGCAGGCAGCAGGGAGGCCGACAGGAUCGCGGCGCUGCCCGGCCAGCCCCCGCGCGUCAACUUCGGCCAGUACUCCGGCUACGUCACCGUGAGCGAGGAGUACGGCCGCGCGCUCUUCUACUACUUCGUCGAGGCCCCCUACGAGGCCUCCUCCAAGCCGCUCGUGCUCUGGCUCAACGGCGGGCCCGGGUGCUCGUCGCUCGGCUCCGGCGCCAUGGCGGAGCUCGGCCCGUUCCGUGUGAACCCUGAUGGGAAGACCCUGAGCAGAAACAGGCAUGCCUGGAACAAUUUGGCGAAUGUGAUCUUCCUGGAGUCGCCGGCGGGCGUCGGGUUCUCCUAUUCGAACGCAUCGAUACCGAGCGGCGACACGAGGACAGCGGUGGACGCCUACAUGUUCCUGCUCCACUGGCUGGAGAGGUUCCCCGAGUACAAGGGCCGCGACUUCUACAUCUCCGGGGAGAGCUACGCCGGACACUACGUCCCCCAGCUCGCCACCGUCAUCGUCGCCCUCCGCGAACUCGGUGCCACGGACAUGAACCUCAAGGGCAUCUUCGUCGGCAAUCCGCUCCUCGAUAAGUCCAAUAACUCAUAUGGAAAGUUAGAGUUCCUGUGGAGCCACGGGGUGAUCUCCGACGAGGUGUGGGCCAGCGUCAACGCGCCGUGCAACAACGGGUGCGACGACUCGUUCGAUGAGGGCGACAUCGAUACGUACAACAUUUACGCCCCGGUCUGCAUCCAGUCGCCAGACGGGGGUAUCCACCCCAGCAGCUACGUGAUGGUAUACUGA
rnacentral:rRNA from 1 species